rnacentral:rRNA from 1 species
CCCUUAGAUGUUCUGGGCUGCACGCGCGCUACACUGAUACGUUCAACGAGCUCCCCUUGGUCGAGAGGCCUAGGUAAUCUUUUGAACGCGUAUCGUGAUAGGGAUAGACCUUUGCAAUUAUUGGUCUUGAACGAGGAAUUCCUAGUAAACGCGAGUCAUCAGCUCGCAUUGAUUACGUCCCUGCCCUUUGUACACACCGCCCGUCGCACCUACCGAUUGAACGAUUCGGUGAAAACUCCGGACUGUGGUUGUGCGCCCUUUAUUGGGAGCGCUUCCGUGGAAAGUUGUGUAAACCUCAUCGUUUAGAGGAAGGUGAAGUCGUAACA